CUGAAUAACACCAGCCAGGUCAUUUUGAACAGUAGUGUAAACUAAGACACUUACCCUUCAACUACAAGUGUUAUAGCUACGUUAUAGCUACAGAACUACAAGUGUUACCUUUCCUUGGGAAAGGCUUUGAAUCACUGUGUUCCAGCUUGGUCCUACACCAAACACCUGAAUAACACCAGCCAGGUCCUUUUGAACAGUAGUGUAAACUAAGACACUUACCCUUCAACUACAAGUGUUAUAGCUACGUUAUAGCUACAGAACUACAAGUGUUACCUUUCCUUGGGAAAGGCUUUGAAUCACUGUGUUCCAGCUUGGUCCUACACCAAACACCUGAAUAACACCAGCCAGGUCCUUUUGAACAGUAGUGUAAACUAAGACACUUACCCUUCAACUACAAGUGUUAUAGCUACGUUAUAGCUACAGAACUACAAGUGUUACCUUUCCUUGGGAAAGGCUUUGAAUCACUGUGUUCCAGCUUGGUCCUACACCAAACACCUGAAUAACACCAGCCAGGUCCUUUUGAACAGUAGUGUAAACUAAGACACUUACCCUUCAACUACAAGUGUUAUAGCUACGUUAUAGCUACAGAACUGCAAGUGUUACCUUUCCUUGGGAAAGGCUUUGAAUCACUGUGUUCCAGCUUGGUCCUACACCAAACACCUGAAUAACACCAGCCAGGUCCUUUUGAACAGUAGUGUAAACUAAGACACUUACCCUUCAACUACAAGUGUUAUAGCUACGUUAUAGCUACAGAACUACAAGUGUUACCUUUCCUUGGGAAAGGCUUUGAAUCACUGUGUUCCAGCUUGGUCCUACACCAAACACCUGAAUAACACCAGCCAGGUCCUUUUGAACAGUAGUGUAAACUAAGACACUUACCCUUCAACUACAAGUGUUAUAGCUACGUUAUAGCUACAGAACUACAAGUGUUACCUUUCCUUGGGAAAGGCUUUGAAUCACUGUGUUCCAGCUUGGUCCUACACCAAACACCUGAAUAACACCAGCCAGGUCCUUUUGAACAGUAGUGUAAACUAAGACACUUACCCUUCAACUACAAGUGUUAUAGCUACAGAACUACAAGUGUUACCUUUCCUUGGGAAAGGCUUUGAAUGUACGUAUUGAUACUGUACCUCAUAUA